rnacentral:rRNA from 1 species
AACGUAGGAGACAAACGUUAUCCGGAGUUACUGGGCGUAAAGGGCGUGUAGGCGGUUUGUUAAGUCUGGCGUGAAAGCUCUCGGCUAAACCGGGAGAGGUCGUUGGAUACUGGCAGACUAGAGGACGGUAGAGGCGUGUGGAAUUCCGGGUGUAGUGGUGAAAUGCGUAGAUAUCGGGAGGAACACCAGUGGCGAAGGCGACUACCUGGCCUGUUCUUGACGCUGAGGCGCGAAAGCUAGGGGAGCAAGCGGG